UACGGAGGGGGCUAGCGUUGUUCGGAAUUACUGGGCGUAAAGCGCGCGUAGGCGGACCUGCAAGUCGGGGGUGAAAGCCCGAGGCUCAACCUCGGAACUGCCUUCGAUACUGCGGGUCUCGAGUCCGGGAGAGGUGAGUGGAAUUCCUAGUGUAGAGGUGAAAUUCGUAGAUAUUAGGAAGAACACCAGUGGCGAAGGCGGCUCACUGGCCCGGUACUGACGCCUGAGGCGCGA
rnacentral:rRNA from 1 species